CCGGGCUUGGGGGCCACGCAUGGUUUUCUUCUCCGCUUCCUCCGCUGCCCCGCUUCCCGGCGAAAGCGUCGACCGCCGCCUCCUCCACCCCCACCCUACACGAGCGCAUUGGUUGGCUGUUUCCCUCUCCCCAGACUCUUGCCGUCCUGCGCGAUCAAGGUUGCCUGGGCGCCUCGCUGUCGUCGGGUCUGAACCGUGCUGCGCCGCGGAGGGAAGUGAGAUAGAGAGAGGGGGAAAGGAAGAUCAGAUAUAAUGGCGGUUGCCGUCCUGCUGCGCCAGAGGGCGCUCUCGUCGCCCCACGCGGCCUCCUCGUGCCGAAAUGUUGUAUAUACGAGUGGCCUUUUUUCCAAUUCUGAUCUACACUCAAUGGUGAAUUCUACUAAUUUGAGAUUUUGGAGGACCUACCAUAACUCUGCGAAGUUUGAUUUGACUGAUUUGACGCAUCCUCAUAUCUGGUACCCUAAAGCCCGAGAAAAGAAGCGCAAUGUGUUUUUACAUGUUGGCCCUACAAACAGUGGGAAAACUUAUAGUGCUCUCAAGAGACUAGAAGCAAGCUCUUCAGGUGUGUACUGUGGACCUCUGAGAUUGUUAGCAAGAGAGAUAGCCCAAAGGUUAAACAAAGUUAACGUCCCUUGUAACUUGAUUACUGGACAAGAAAGGGAUGAAAUUGAAGGUGCAAAGCAUAGCUCAGUGACAGUUGAGAUGGCUGAUGUGACAACCGACUAUCAAUGUGCUGUUAUUGAUGAAAUUCAGAUGGUUGGCUGUAAAUCAAGGGGUUAUUCGUUCACACGUGCACUUCUGGGGCUUUGUUCAGAUGAACUUCAUGUCUGUGGUGACCCAGCUGCUGUUCCCCUUAUUCAGCGAAUUCUUGAAGCUACUGGUGAUGUAGUUACGGUUCAAUAUUAUGAGAGACUAUCUCCUUUGGUUCCUCUGAAGUCUCCACUUGGGUCUUUCUCUAACAUCAAGGCAGGAGAUUGUUUAGUAACAUUUUCAAGACGUGGAAUUUAUACUCUCAAGAAAAGAAUUGAAAGGGAGGGAAAGCAUCUUUGCUCUGUGGUCUAUGGUUCAUUGCCACCAGAAACUCGAACAAAGCAGGCGACAAUGUUCAAUGAUGAUACCAGUGACCUUGAUGUGCUAGUAGCUAGUGAUGCUAUUGGAAUGGGUCUUAAUCUGAACAUUUCCAGAAUUAUUUUCUCUACAAUGAUGAAGUUUGACGGUUUCUGCAACAGGGAACUAACUGUGGCCGAAAUCAAACAGAUCGCUGGCAGGGCUGGGAGAUAUGGGUCUAAGUUCCCUGUUGGAGAAGUGACCUGUGUAGAUGCUGAAGAUCUCCCAUUGCUGCACUCGUCUCUGAAAUCAGCUUCCCCCAUUAUAGAGCGUGCUGGACUUUUCCCCACAUUUGAUUUAUUAUCUUUGUAUUCACGAUUACAUGGAACUGACUUUUUUCACCCUGUACUGGAACGUUUCUUGGAGAAGGCUAAACUAUCGCCAGACUAUUUUAUUGCUGAUUGUGAAGAUAUGUUGAAGGUUGCUGCUAUUGUUGAUGAUUUCCCUCUCGGAUUGUAUGAUAAAUACCUCUUCUGUAUCAGUCCAGUGGACAUACGUGAUGAUAUAUCUGUCCAAGGACUAGUUCAGUUUGCAGAAAAUUAUGCAAGGAAAGGCAUUGUUCGACUUAAAGAGAUAUUCACACCUGGAACAUUACAGGUUCCUAAAACAGACAAUCAACUCAAGGAGCUUGAAUCAGUUCACAAGGUCCUAGAGUUAUAUGUGUGGUUAAGCUUCAGAAUGGAUGAUUCCUUUCCAGACCGUGAAGUGGCUGCCUCUCAAAAGUCAAUCUGUAGCAUGUUGAUCGAAGAAUAUCUAGAGAGGUCGGGAUGGCGACCACAAGGCCGAAGAAAGUUUUUGCGUGGACCGCAACCGCAAAAGCUGCUCCAAGAAUACGAUGAAUCGCAAUUGCGCAAAUAUUUUCAAGAAGUCAACCCAGGACCAAAGUAGAAGGCUUUAAUGCACUCCUCCCAUAAUACAGGAAAGUGAGUCCCACCACUUUUCAGUCCAGAUUUGAGGAACCAUCCAGAGGGUGAACUAAACAAGGCCAGAGCAUUUGAGGAACAGGCACAAAGUCAAACGACAUUUCGGAUAACAGAAGAGAUACGUGGACUCAUCUCAAAACCGUGAUCAUCUAGAUUGAUUUGGCAGCACCCAUUCCCAUCAACCAGAUUCUGUUCGACCAGUAGCACUUUUAUACCCCAAAUGAAACUACACUCAGUGUAAAGUCAUAAGGAAAAUAGAGCCAUGAGCCCAUGACAGGGCCACUAGUGAGACAGAGAUUGCUUCUUAACAGGACAGUACUUGCAAGCUAACCUGAGUUCCAUGAGCAGCAGCAAUGGCGGCUCUAAUCCUGUAUAUAAAGAGGACAAUAAUAUUGCUUGUGCUGUUAUUCAGUGCAAAAUCUGAAUGUUUAUGUAUCCAUUGACACUUUAGUAGACAUUUUAUAUGCACUAACUAAUAGCUAAUGGCCCGUGUGUAGCUUUGUACAUAAAUUCUUCAGUUUUUUUUGAAGUGCCCCGAUGUUGAGGGCAAAAAAAAUUCUAAAUAAUGGUUCUCUCCCAAAACAACCGUUAUCAUGCCUCUUAAUCCAUUCCAGUAUCUGCUCAGAAAGGGCCCAAAAAAUGCUUUAAUCCAUUCCAGUGUUUGCCCAGAAAGGGCCAAAAA